UGCCUCUUUCUGAAUGAGUUUCCACCAUACACGGCAAGUUUUGAGAGAGUUCCUGUGGAUGGCCAUCACAUCUGAAAGCAAGUCCUUUGUUCAUAUAUUUUGUUGCACAAAAGGAUGAGAGCAAUUAAGAUUCUGAACCAUGAAACUUUUAUGGCUUUUAUCGUUUAGGAAAGUGGAAAUUAAUCAGUCUAAUAAUUUUAAAGAGCAAAAAUGAAAUUUGUACUCUUUUAGCAGAAUGUUGCAUAGCUAACUUGGGUAUAGAAAACUAAAAACCGGAUUCAUAAAGAUGCAGGAAUUAAUUAAAUUACUUUUAAUGCUGAGCUGUUGGUUGAUAGAGGUGAUCUGUUUCCUUUGAAGUCCCGUUUUAUAUCUUGUACAAAUGAAAGGAAAUUUUGUAAUUGAAGUCCCAACUUUCAAUUAUUCUUACACGAGGAACUUGGAAUUGCAGUAAACAAUUUUCCCUAAUGAGUUUGAAGUAAGAAAAAAUUUAAAUGAGUUACUAGUGGAAUAUGUUUUAGAAUCAUAGGUAAAAAGGGGGGAAAAAAAGAAAAAAAAAAUUGGUUCAGUUGGUACAUUUGUCAUGGUUUUGAGUUGAACACCCAAACCGCCCAUCGAAGAACCAUGUAAAGAAAGAAAAGAAUUUUAGGUAAAUACAAGAUGUGUUACCGCAUGAAGUUCUUUGAAUUGUCUUGUGCAUAAGAUCUUCUGAGAUUUCCUUGUCCACUAUUUAUGUUGUAAAGAGAACUGCCAACUUGUUUGUCCCUUUACAAAGUUACAAGAAUAAAGUUUUAGAGAUGAGUUGAACUAGAAGCAGGACUUAACAAGGGUAAAAUGACCAAGUAUUUGUCUCAUUGUUUGUCUAUAACUGUGUAACAACGCCAUUUAUUUAAUCAGUUUCAUGAUAUAAAAUUUUGAGUAAUGGAACAAUUACUUAAAGAUGAUCACUUGUUUCUUUGUUUUAGUUUAACAUGGUUCCGUGGAUUUUGUCAUGUCUGCAAGCAUAUAAAAUUGAUAGAGAGGAGACGAGGAAAAUAGGUUAGUAAAGCAUAAGUCAUUAACUUGUAAGUUGUUCUUUUACCCCUGCAGCUUAUGGAGAAAGUG
rnacentral:misc_RNA from 1 species